rnacentral:Y_RNA from 1 species
GGUUGGUGUGAGUGCAGUGGUGUUUACAACUAAUUGAUCACAACUAGUUAUAGAUCUUUGUUUUUUCUCCACUCCCACUGCUUCACUUGACCAGCCUUUA